rnacentral:rRNA from 1 species
GGGAUAACACUUGGAAACAGGUGCUAAUACCGUAUACCACUAUUUUCCGCAUGGAAGAAAGUUGAAAGGCGCUUUUGCGCCACUGAUGGAUGGACCCGCGGUGCAUUAGCUAGUUGGUGAGGUAGCGGCUCACCAAGGCCACGAUGCAUAGCCGACCUGAGAGGGUGAUCGGCCACACUGGGACUGAGACACGGCCCAGACUCCUACGGGAGGCAGCAGUAGGGAAUCUUCGGCAAUGGACGAAAGUCUGACCGAGCAACGCCGCGUGAGUGAAGAAGGUUUUCGGAUCGUAAAACUCUGUUGUUAGAGAAGAACAAGGAUGAGAGUAAAACGUUCAUCCCUUGACGGUAUCUAACCAGAAAGCCACGGCUAACUACGUGCCAGCAGCCGCGGUAAUACGUAGGUGGCAAGCGUUGUCCGGAUUUAUUGGGCGUAAAGCGAGCGCAGGCGGUUUCUUAAGUCUGAUGUGAAAGCCCCCGGCUCAACCGGGGAGGGUCAUUGGAAACUGGGAGACUUGAGUGCAGAAGAGGAGAGUGGAAUUCCAUGUGUAGCGGUGAAAUGCGUAGAUAUAUGGAGGAACACCAGUGGCGAAGGCGGCUCUCUGGUCUGUAACUGACGCUGAGGCUCGAAAGCGUGGGGAGCGAACAGGAUUAGAUACCCU